rnacentral:rRNA from 1 species
GAUGAACGCUGGCGGCGUGCCUAAUACAUGCAAGUCGAGCGAACGGACGAGAAGCUUGCUUUUCUGAUGUUAGCGGCGGACGGGUGAGUAACACGUGGAUAACCUACCUAUAAGACUGGGAUAACUUCGGGAAACCGGAGCUAAUACCGGAUAAUAUUUUGAACCGCAUGGUUCAAAAGUGAAAGACGGUCUUGCUGUCACUUAUAGAUGGAUCCGCGCUGCAUUAGCUAGUUGGUAAGGUAACGGCUUACCAAGGCAACGAUGCAUAGCCGACCUGAGAGGGUGAUCGGCCACACGGGAACUGGGACACGGUCCAGACUCCUACGGGAGGCAGCAGUAGGGAAUCUUCCGCAAUGGGCGAAAGCCUGACGGAGCAACGCCGCGUGAGUGAUGAAGGUCUUCGGAUCGUAAAACUCUGUUAUUAGGGAAGAACAUAUGUGUAAGUAACUGUGCACAUCUUGACGGUACCUAAUCAGAAAGCCACGGCUAACUACGUG